CUAGAGGGCGGCGAGGUCUCUCCGCGCAGCGUCCGAGGGGAUGCGGCGCGCCCCCGACUGGGUGCAGCGGCAGGCCGCCCCCGGCAGCAAGUGCCGGGUGCCAUGGCAACGGCGGGAAUUUCCCGGUCGGGGAGGCCGGAAGCAGCCCCAGCCGGGCUCGCGGCAGCGAAAGCAAAAUCCGAUCUCUCUCCCGGGGGAGCAAAAUGGACGAAAGGCGACCCCCCAGGCAGGGGCGCUGGGUGCCUUGGGAAUCCGAGGAAUCCCUUCUCUUUGCCAGUCGGAGGGGACUAGAUGGAGCCGAAGGGGCCGGAGAUGGGCCGAGCGCUGCCCCCCGGGGGUCCUCGGCGCCGGGCGCAGCUUACGAGCGCAGCGCAGCAGGCUCCAUUCCCGGCCGCCGCCGCUCAGCCCAUUACGCAAACCUGGCGGGUCCAACCAACCCCGCUGUGCCGCCGCUGCUGGAACCCAGGAGGCGUGCUUGCAGGCUUCGGGCACUACGCGGGGCUGGAAAUACCACGCACUGCCCCUUCGCCUAGACCCCCGCUCGGGCCACGCGGGUUCUGCCCUCAAAGCUGGUAGCUGCCCCAGACUUGGGGGUGGGGGGAGGGGAAGGGGCGAGGCUGGCGCCCCCUCCCGCUUUUGGCUCCCGCGUUCGUUGCAGCAGCUGUUGCCAAAUGAACCCCGGAAUGCGGACGUGCAAACCCUCCACCCCACCCCCAGCCACACACGUCGCGGUCAGAGAACUGGGAAGGGGGCGCUGGGUCCGAGGUUCUGGAAAAGCAAGAACUCACCUGCAAACAGGCAGUCCUCAGCUCUGGACUUCUGGAUCACGACGUCGAUAUCCUUCUGAAUUCGGUCUUGCCUUGAACACAUCCCCAUUAAAUAAAUCCUUGGAAAAGAAGCAGCCGCUAUUUCCACCCCACCCCCCUCGCACGCUUUCAGCUUUCGUAAAUAUUCAGUUAAAAAUGAAACCUCUGGCCGAGGCAGGGGCUGAAGGCCAAGUGGUUUCGGAAGUGAUCCUGGGUGAGAGGAGGAGGAGGAGGAGGAGGAAGAGGUGGAGGAGGAGGGGGAGGUCGGCUUUCCAUUUCCAGAUGUGACCGCCCAGCUGCUGCUCGCCGCUGCUGGAUUCCAGUUUCCUCCCCUUCUGGCGACGGAUUGGUGAUGACACCGAGUCUCACUUUCUCCUUCCCCCGCCGGGACCAACCGCCGUGGGGGGCCGAGGGUGCCGGGGACGGCCGGAGAGCGAUCACGGGCUGGGCGGCGGAAGCCGACGAGGGGCGAGCCCCGCUCCGGCUCAAGCGAUCACACCCCUCACGGCCCGCACUCCGGCCUUCCACACCCGUGCACACUCUCGCCCGCGGGCGGCGGCAGCCGUGCCCAGGCUGCUGCAGCGCCACCCGCCCGCCGCGGACCCUCCGCGCCCUCCGCCUAGUCACCCGGCCCGGCCGCGGGCCGCCGGGGCUCGCAGAGUGUCAGCCAUCCCGGGCAGGAGUCGCGUCUCCCCACCCCGACCUCCACUCGCGCCGGGAGCUGAGCGGCAGUGUAGGUAGUGAAGACUCCCUGGGGCUCCCAGCCUUCCCUCUCCGCGCUCUCCCCCCGUCACUUUUAUGAAUUCGACUCCACUUUCUAAAGGAAUUAUGAGUCUUGUGGCAAACACAAACCGGAGUGGCCGGGAGGGGGAAAAGGGGGGAAAAGAAAAUCUUUAAAAAUUAAAAAAAUAAUAAAACGAA
rnacentral:lncRNA from 1 species